rnacentral:rRNA from 1 species
GAUGAACGCUGGCGGCGUGCUUAACACAUGCAAGUCGAGCGAAGCGCUUUUGAUUUCUUCGGAUUGAUGAAGUGACUUAGCGGCGGACGGGUGAGUAACGCGCGGGUAACCUGCCUUACACAGGGGGAUAACAGUUAGAAAUGACUGCUAAUACCGCAUAACCCGCUAGGAUCGCAUGAUCCGGACGGAAAAGAUUUAUCGGUGUAAGAUGGACCCGCGUCUGAUUAGCUGGUUGGUGAGGUAACGGCCCACCAAGGCGACGAUCAGUAGCCGACCUGAGAGGGUGAUCGGCCACAUUGGGACUGUGACACGGGCCCAGACUCCUACGGAAGGCAGCAGGUGGGGGAUAUUGGCAC